rnacentral:siRNA from 1 species
UUUUAGUGAUAUAGGUGACCA